CUCCCACAGCCACAGCCAGCAGCCUCCUCUGCCCUUGGAGGGCGCACAGGACCUUGUUGGGCCUUCGGAGGAGAAGUAGGGUUGGGGGCAGGUGGUGACUCUGGCAGAGGCUCUGUUUCCUCUUCCAGCUCCAGGGCCCACCCCACUGUGACUGGCAGAGUCUGAAGGGCUGGGCUGGCCUGGGUGUGGCCCCAGCUACGAAGAUCCUCCAUCCAGAGUCUCAGGCUCUAGGGGUCAAUUUUUGGCUUUUGUAGGGAAGUAAACAGGAGGUGGGAAUGAGGGGACAGAUGCUGGAGGGAGGCUGAAUUUUAUUCAAGGAAUCAGGGAGGGAGGGUGGCAGGGAGAAUGAGUUCCAGGUGCCCAGUACAGCUAAGCAAAGCACCGGUAUUGGAAAUCCUGGGGUUGGUUAGUGAAAGCUGGGAGGAGCCUGUGGUUAGUUCCCAGGCGGGUUUGCUGGGAGAAUCACCAGCCUCCAUUUCCCAGAGGUCAACGGAGUGUGGUUCUCAGGGGGUGCCAAGCUCCAAGCAUGAAGCCAAAAAGGUCAGGGAUGUGGAUAAGGUCUGGUUCAUUUCCCUCCCAGACCUGCCUCACCUUGCUGUGUGACACUGGGCAAGUCAUGGGCCCUCUCUGAGCUUUGGCUCUCUUUUCUUUCUUUUUUUUUUUUUUCUGAUGCGGAGUCUCACUCUGUCGUCCAGGCUGGAGUGCAGUGGUGCAAUCUCCGCUCACGGCAAGCUCCGCCUCCCGGGUUCAGGCCAUUCUCCUGCCUCAGCCUCCUGAGUAGCUGGGAUUAUAGGCACCCGCCACUACGCCCAGCUAAUU
rnacentral:lncRNA from 1 species